rnacentral:rRNA from 1 species
UACGUAGGGGGCAAGCGUUGUCCGGAUUUAUUGGGCGUAAAGAGCUCGUAGGCGGUUUGGUAAGUCGGAUGUGAAAUCUCCAGGCUCAACCUGGAGGGGUCAUUCGAUACUGCCAUGACUAGAGUUCGGUAGGGGAGUGUGGAAUUCCUGGUGGAGCGGUGAAAUGCGCAGAGAUCGGGAAGAACACCCGUGGCGAAGGCGGUGUGCUGGGUUGCAACUGACGCUGAGAUGCGAAAGUGUGGGGAGCAAACAGG